GGACUACUGGGGUUUCUAAUCCUGUUUGCUCCCCUUGCUUUCGCGCCUCAGCGUCAGGUAUAAGCUAGAAAACCGCCUUCGCCACUGGUGUUCUUCCACAUAUCUACGCAUUUCACCGCUACUUGUGGAAUUCCGUUUUCUCCGCCUACCCUCUAGAAAUGUAGUUUCAAAUGCUGUUCCGGGGUUGAGCCCCGGGAUUUCACAUCUGACUGGCAUUUCCGCCUACGCGCCCUUUACGCCCAAUAAAUCCGAUUAAUGCUUGCACCCUACGUAUUACCGCGGCUGCUGGCAC
rnacentral:rRNA from 1 species